rnacentral:rRNA from 1 species
GAUGAACGCUGGCGGCGUGCCUAAUACAUGCGAGUCGAGCGAACAGACAAGGAGCUUGCGCCUUUGACGUUAGCGGCGGACGGGUGAAUAACACGUGGAUAACCUACCUAUAAGACUGGAAUAACUACGGAAAACCGGCGCUAAUGCCGGAUAAGAUUUUGAACCGCGUGGGUCGAAAGUGAAAGAUGGUUUUGCGGUCACUUAUAGAUGGAUCCGGGCCGUAUGAGCUAGUUGGUAAGGUAACGGGUUACCAAGGCAACGAUUCGUAGCCGACCUGAGAGGGUGAUAGGCGACACUGGAACGGAGACACGCUCCAGACUCCUACGGGAGGCAGCAGUAGGGAACCGUACGCAACGGGCGAAAGCAUGACGGAGUAACGCCGCGCGAGUGAUGAAGGUCUUCGGAUCGUAAAACUCUGUUAUUAGGGAAGAACAAAUGUGUAAGUAAAUGUGCACGUCUUGACGGUACCUAAUCAGAAAGCCCCGGCUAACUACGUG